rnacentral:rRNA from 1 species
GACGAACGCUGGCGGCGUGCCUAAUACAUGCAAGUAGAACGCACAGUUUAUACCGUAGCUUGCUACACCAUAGACUGUGAGUUGCGAACGGGUGAGUAACGCGUAGGUAACCUGCCUGGUAGCGGGGGAUAACUAUUGGAAACGAUAGCUAAUACCGCAUAAUAUUAAUUAUUGCAUGAUAAUUAAUUGAAAGGUGCAAUUGCACCACUACCAGAUGGACCUGCGUUGUAUUAGCUAGUAGGUGAGGUAACGGCUCACCUAGGCGACGAUACAUAGCCGACCUGGGAGGGUGAUCGGCCACACUGGGACUGAGACACGGCCCAGACUCCUACGGGAGGCAGCAGUAGGGAAUCUUCGGCAAUGGACGAAAGUCUGACCGAGCAACGCCGCGUGAGUGAAGAAGGGUUUCGGGUCGUAAAGCUCUGUUGUAAGAGAAGAACGGGUGUGAGAGUGGAAAGUUCACACUGUGACGGUAUCUUACCAGAAAGGGACGGCUAACUACGUG